rnacentral:misc_RNA from 1 species
CCAAACUUGGUCAUUUAGAGGAAGUAAAAGUCGUAACAAGGUCUCCGUAGGUGAACCUGCGGAGGGAUCAUUACAAAUUGUGAGAGAUUCCGCAAGGAAUCUCGAACUUCAACCCUUUUGAUGUUAUAUCCUGUUGCUUGCCUGAUUUCGAUCAGGAUCAAGCCAAUUAUAUUCUAUUUUAUUUAUCAGUCUGAAAAAUUGAUUCUAAAUCAAAAACAAAACUUUCAACAACGGAUCUCUUGGUUCUGGCAUCGAUGAAGAACGCAGC